GGAGCACCAACCCGACGAGCAUCAUUUUUGUCGGUGCAUAGAGGAAAGCUGUAGGUGCAGCCACAGGAACCCCCUUUGCUGAGAGGAGCUUUACAAAGGAAGGACAGUCACCAGGUACCCAUUACGCAGGCAAAGGAAGCUGAGACUCAUGCAAAGCCUCUGGCAAAGGUGGAAACAAAACCUCGGGCUGUGAUCCUGCAUUAAAAGCCGUCUGGAUCUGCCUGCCUGGAGCUCCUUACAGAUGAGCAGUCUGGGACUGGACCGGUGAAGACGUAACUCCCUUUGUGCCUGCUGUUACUGCUGAACCCCCAAAACGCUGCCUCUCGCUGUGCUGGUGCCACCCACACCUCUCCCAACGCAGCACUUGGUCGCAGCAGGGCUCAGCACCCGGCUACUCCCACUGAUGUCUCGAGGACGAGGCAAGAGGCUACUGAUGCUUCUGAUCCCAGCCUGCCUCCCUGCAGGGGGAGACACAAGAGGAGAUGUGGAAAAGUGUUGGAGAAGUGUUGGAGUAGAGCAGAGGACAAAGCUAAAGGAGCGGGCUGCUACAGAAACCAGCUUCCCAUCGCAUUCUGCUGCAGCGUGGCUCCAGAGCACUUGUCAGAUACUGAACUGCAGGUUCCAGUCCUGCUGACCACUGUCUAUGAUGAGAAGACCCCCAGACUCCAGCAGACUCUCAGACAUUGCUCUGAUGGCAGGAGCUCUCCAGCAAGCUGGCAAAUGUGACCAUGGCCUGGCAGACAGGACAAAGUCAAAGACCCGCUGGACUCUAAGCUCUGAUGGUUCUAGUAGAUGUCCGAGGGGAAAGCUUGAUGAUUUAGAGAUGAAGAAGAAAG